CCUACGAGAGGCAGCAGUGGGGAAUAUUGCACAAUGGGGGAAACCCUGAUGCAGCGACGCCGCGUGAGUGAAGAAGUAUUUCGGUAUGUAAAGCUCUAUCAGCAGGGAAGAAAAAAGACGGUACCUGACUAAGAAGCCCCGGCUAACUACGUGCCAGCAGCCGCGGUAAUACGUAGGGGGCAAGCGUUAUCCGGAUUUACUGGGUGGAAAGGGAGCGUAGACGGCGCGGCAAGUCUGAAGUGAAAGGCAGGGGCUUAACCCCUGAACUGCUUUGGAAACUGCCAUGCUAGAGUGCUGGAGAGGUAAGUGGAAUUCCUAGUGUAGCGGUGAAAUGCGUAGAUAUUAGGAGGAACACCAGUGGCGAAGGCGGCUUACUGGACAGUAACUGACGUUGAGGCUCGAAAGCGUGGGGAGCAAACAGGAUUAGAUACCCCAGUAGUC
rnacentral:rRNA from 1 species